rnacentral:rRNA from 1 species
GACGAACGCUGGCGGCGUGCUUAACACAUGCAAGUCGAACGGAAAGGCCCUGCUUUUGUGGGGUGCUCGAGUGGCGAACGGGUGAGUAACACGUGAGUAACCUGCCCUUGACUUUGGGAUAACUUCAGGAAACUGGGGCUAAUACCGGAUAGGAGCUCCUGCUGCAUGGUGGGGGUUGGAAAGUUUCGGCGGUUGGGGAUGGACUCGCGGCUUAUCAGCUUGUUGGUGGGGUAGUGGCUUACCAAGGCUUUGACGGGUAGCCGGCCUGAGAGGGUGACCGGCCACAUUGGGACUGAGAUACGGCCCAGACUCCUACGGGAGGCAGCAGUGGGGAAUAUUGCACAAUGGGCGGAAGCCUGAUGCAGCAACGCCGCGUGCGGGAUGACGGCCUUCGGGUUGUAAACCGCUUUCGCCUGUGACGAAGCGUGAGUGACGGUAAUGGGUAAAGAAGCACCGGCUAACUACGUGCCAGCAGCCGCGGUGAUACGUAGGGUGCGAGCGUUGUCCGGAUUUAUUGGGCGUAAAGGGCUCGUAGGUGGUUGAUCGCGUCGGAAGUGUAAUCUUGGGGCUUAACCCUGAGCGUGCUUUCGAUACGGGUUGACUUGAGGAAGGUAGGGGAGAAUGGAAUUCCUGGUGGAGCGGUGGAAUGCGCAGAUAUCAGGAGGAACACCAGUGGCGAAGGCGGUUCUCUGGGCCUUUCCUGACGCUGAGGAGCGAAAGCGUGGGGAGCGAACAGGCUUAGAUACCCUGGUAGUCCACGCUGUAAACGGUGGGUACUAGGUGUGGGGUCCACUCCACGGGUUCCGUGCCGUAGCUAACGCUUUAAGUACCCCGCCUGGGGAGUACGGCCGCAAGGCUAAAACUCAAAGGAAUUGACGGGGCCCCGCACAAGCGGCGGAGCAUGCGGAUUAAUUCGAUGCAACGCGUAGAACCUUACCUGGGUUUGACAUGGAUCGGGAGCGCUCAGAGAUGGGUGUGCCUCUUUUGGGGUCGGUUCACAGGUGGUGCAUGGCUGUCGUCAGCUCGUGUCGUGAGAUGUUGGGUUAAGUCCCGCAACGAGCGCAACCCUUGUUCACUGUUGCCAGCACGUUAUGGUGGGGACUCAGUGGAGACCGCCGGGGUCAACUCGGAGGAAGGUGGGGAUGACGUCAAGUCAUCAUGCCCCUUAUGUCCAGGGCUUCACGCAUGCUACAAUGGCUGGUACAGAGAGUGGCGAGCCUGUGAGGGUGAGCGAAUCUCGGAAAGCCGGUCUCAGUUCGGAUUGGGGUCUGCAACUCGACCUCAUGAAGUCGGAGUCGCUAGUAAUCGCAGAUCAGCAACACUGCGGUGAAUACGUUCCCGGG